rfam:Frankia sp. BMG5.36 contig_93, whole genome shotgun sequence.
AGCGCCACCGGGUCGACGCCGCGGGUGACCAUCAGGUAGUCCCGCAUCGCGAUCGCGUGCCGGCCCUC